rnacentral:rRNA from 1 species
CCUACGGGAGGCAGCAGUAGGGAAUAUUGCUCAAUGGGGGAAACCCUGAAGCAGCAACGCCGCGUGGAGGAUGAAGGUUUUAGGAUUGUACACUCCUUUUGUGAGAGAAGAUACUGACGGUAUCUCACGAUUAAGCACCGGCUAACUCCGUGCCAGCAGCCUCGGUAAUACGGAGGGUGCAAGCGUUACUCGGAAUCACUGGGCGUAAAGGGUGCGCAGGCGGGCUUGUAAGUCAGAUGUGAAAUCCUGUAGCUUAACUACAGAACUGAAUUUGAAACUAUGAGUCUAGAGUGUUGGAGAGGGAGGUUGAAUUCUUGGUGUAGGGGUAAAAUCCGUAGAUAUCAAGAGGAAUACUCAUUGCGAAGGCGACCUACUGGAACAUUACUGACGCUCAUGCACGAAAGCGUGGGGAGCAAACAGGAUUAGAUACCCUUGUAGUC